UUUCCUCCCGAGUGCUUGCACUCAAUUGGAAAGAGGAGUGGCGGACGGGUGAGUAACACGUGGGUAACCUACCCAUCAGAGGGGGAUAACACUUGGAAACAGGUGCUAAUACCGCAUAACAGUUUAUGUCGCAUGGCAUAAGAGUGAAAGGCGCUUUCGGGUGUCGCUGAUGGAUGGACCCGCGGUGCAUUAGCUAGUUGGUGAGGUAACGGCUCACCAAGGCCACGAUGCAUAGCCGACCUGAGAGGGUGAUCGGCCACACUGGGACUGAGACACGGCCCAGACUCCUACGGGAGGCAGCAGUAGGGAAUCUUCGGCAAUGGACAAAAGUCUGACCGAGCAACGCCGCGUGAGUGAAGAAGGUUUUCGGAUCGUAAAACUCUGUUGUUAGAGAAGAACAAGGACGUUAGUAACUGAACGUCCCCUGACGGUAUCUAACCAGAAAGCCACGGCUAACUACGUGCCAGCAGCCGCGGUAAUACGUAGGUGGCAAGCGUUGUCCGGAUUUAUUGGGCGUAAAGCGAGCGCAGGCGGUUUCUUAAGUCUGAUGUGAAAGCCCCCGGCUCAACCGGGGAGGGUCAUUGGAAACUGGGAGACUUGAGUGCAGAAGAGGAGAGUGGAAUUCCAUGUGUAGCGGUGAAAUGCGUAGAUAUAUGGAGGAACACCAGUGGCGAAGGCGGCUCUCUGGUCUGUAACUGACGCUGAGGCUCGAAAGCGUGGGGAG
rnacentral:rRNA from 1 species